CUUGCUCGCACAUGUGUUUGUUUUGGGGAUGAAUGAAACAACAAGACGGGAAAACUUUGCCCCCGCUCCUAUCAGGGAUCCCAGCUCACCUCUGCCGCGCCACAGCUAACGCCGUGGAUCCGCCAGCUCCUGCCAGGAUUGGGCUGGUAAAUGCUAGAUCGCUAGCGAACAAAACGUUUAUCCUGAAGGAUUUCCUGACUUCCUGAGGAUUGGAUUUUCUCUGUGUGACUGAGACGUGGCUGACUGUUGGUGAGCUAUUUUAACUCCCCGCGGACGUCGGGUCGAGGAGGAGGAAUAGCGACUAUUUAUAAGAGUCACUAUAAAUGUAAGCAGCUAGGUAAGAUGACGUGUGGCGUCUGAGUGCCAUAAAUCGUUUCGUCCUGGAAGCGACCUGGGGCGGACCCGGAGACAGUUUCCUAAAGGAACCGUUACUCCAAAUGUGAUGGAACCGGUUCCGGAACCGGAACUUUGGACCCGGUUCCAAAAAAGAACCAGAUCCGGAUCCCAACCCUACUGGUAGCCUGGGGCCGAAGAAGCCUUUGCACGCCUGACCACUUCCUGAACUUCCUUCCACCAAGGUGGCCUGACAUCCAUCUCAUGCUCUAUCCCUCCUAAUGGAGGGAUAUCAGGAAACCCUGGAACUCUGUGGAGCUGUCCUUCACCACCUCCACCAUCACUGUAAGGAGACAAUCAGGGAGGUGAGAGGAGGAGGCAUUCAUGUUAUAUGAGACUGACUGACUUCAGGAGCAGCAGGAAUGGACUGGAGGCUGGAGAUGUUGACUGACUUCCGAUGGUUGAGAAGAUAAGACUGAGGUCAGAGUAAGUUCCUGUAAACAUGACCUUUGACCUCUGACCUGUUACACAAUACCACCCCUGGGAUAAAAGGAUAAUACAGAGACAAAGAAAAGGAAAGAGCAGAGUAGGAAGAGGGAGAGGAAAUACAUUCCCCUUAAAUAAAUCCUCAUCAUACUGUGCUUAAAGCUUGUAUAGUCUCAGUUUGAUCAGAUACAAGGUGAAAGAGAGAAAGGUGUGAACCAUGGAUACUGCUGCUUUGUGGGAUGAACCUUAACCAUUGACCAUUUCAGUGCCAGUAUUUUGUGUUAAUUUUCUCUUUUUCACUCCCUUUUGGUUUUCACUAGAAUGACCUGAAUGCACUGAAUAAUUUAAUUUAACAUGACUUAAACAAAGCAGUGUAGUACAUAUAUAUAUAUAUAUAUAUAUAUAUAUAUAUAUAUAUAUAUAUGUAUGUAUAUAUAUAUAUAUAUGUAUGUAUGUAUGUAUGUAUAUUUAGUGUAAGGUAUAGGUUUAUCUAUUCAAGGAAGCUGUCUGUCAUUUUCCACAAGGAGAAGGGGUGGAAUUUAAUAAGUAAAUCAAAGUAACUAUACACUGACAACUGCUUUUACAUAUGCUUUUCAUUAUUUGUAAAUAAUUCUUUCUUUAUUUCUAUCUAUCUGCUUGUUUGUAAGUUUAUGUCUUUUUAACAUCUUCGAAAUAAAUAUCAAUAUCAAUAUCAAUACACAGUGGAGUGUGACUUGUUGGAGUAAAACUGAUUUGUUUGUUGGUUCAUUUUAAUUACAGAUAAAACAGUCUAAUUGAGCUUCUCGAUUUAAAAAACUGACACACAUGAUGAUGUUGUUCAGUAGGCUAUAUGUAAGACCACCUUGGUAUACAGAAAUACUGUAUAGUGUAGGCCAAGGGUCAGCAACCGUUUUAAUAUGAAGCACCAUUUUUUAUUUUUUAUUUUAGUGUUGAUCAGUGUGUCAAAUCAAUAUAAUGCCAGUCCCUUGUGCCUUAGAAACUUGAUCUCCAUUCAAACUUGAGCCAUGUCCUCACCUUCUGUUGUUUGAGGCGUUGGUUUUAAGCAGCAGAGUUCUUCCCUGACUGUCAAAUUACAGUAUCUUACUCUAACCACCAAACAAGGCAUGUAAUUCACAUCCACGCUUUCAUGCAAUCUCAAGCGUAAUGCUUAAGUUGCAAAGUUUCUGUGUGUAUUUGUGUGUGUGUGUGUGUGUGUGUGUGUGUGUGCGGGUGUUUGUUUGUGUCCCUUCAUUUAAUUCUGCUUCCCCUGUUUAAAUCAGAGUUUUUUUGUGGGUCCGUCUGCUUGUUUGUAAGUUUAUGUCUUUUUAGACUUUUUAGGCAGGCAGAACACUUUCUGGGGUUUUUUCACCAGUUUGUGGAGUUUUGAGUCGCAGGGUGGAUAGUUGAUCCGUCCGAUCGGAACUGAUCAGCUCCAACCGAUAAAUGAGGGGACCAGCUGUUAGUAAGUGAAAGUAAACUUAUACGAACGGUUCAGUUUCACCACGCCUGCCAUUCUGCUGCUCCAUCUGUACCCAGAGUACAUGUCCAAUUAGUAACAGUAGGCUAUAUAUAUUCCAACAGCGGGCUGUACAAAACCUCUCUUUAUUGUUUUGUUUUUUUUAAAAAUGGAUUUAUAUCUCAAAAAACAAUAUCCUCUGCAAAGAAUAAGAAGGCUGUUAAAACUUUGGACAGUUUAAUAUUUUUUCUUAAAUAAUUGUUUAUAUUUUACUUUUUAUUAUGUAUUUAUGGUAACCCCUGGCAUGUUUUCCAUCCAUCCAUCCAUCUUCUAACCGCUUCAUCCUCUUGAGGGUUGCGGGGGGGCUGGAGCCUAUCCCAGCUGACAUUGGGCGAGAGGCAGGGUACACCCUGGACAGGUCGCCAGACUAUCGCAGGGCUGACACAUAGAGACAGACAACAAUUCACGCUCACAUCCACAUCUAUGGACAAUUUAGAGUUAUCAGUUAACCUAAUCCCCAAUCUGUAUGUCUUUGCACUGUGGGAGGAAGCCAGAGUGCCUGGAGAGAACCCACGCUGACACGGGGAGAACAUGCAAACUCCGCACAGAAGGGCUCCCACACCCGGGAUUGAACAGAAACCCUCUUGCUGUGAGGCAACAGUGCUAACCACCACACCACCGUGCCCCUGGCAUGUUUUGUUUUGUUUUAUUUUGUUGGUUUGUAUUUUAUUUUUAUAUAUGUUUUCUAUUUACGUUUAUUCACCUGUCUGUAUAAUUACUCACCUGUUUACAACAGAUUGAUUGUUUUUGUAAUACAAAAAAAAAUACUCCUGCAUGUAUUGCUAAUGUGCCAUAAAUUAAACUGUGGCGUGCCUAUGGUUGCCGGUCCCUGGUGUAGGCUGUAAGAGACAACUUUUAUACAGAAAACAUAAAGUGUAGUUAUAAUUGAUAACGUGACAAUGACCAUAGCAAGAUUAGUGAUAAAUGUCAUUAUGAUGAUGUCAAGUAAUCUUAAUUUAGGUCAAACCUGAUGAGUUUUACAACAAAAUAAUAGUUUAAGAUUAUUGUACAAAUUUAAUCUAGUAGGAAAUGAACACACUUGCCUUUGCAUGUCCUAUAUUGCUGUUUCAAAGGCAAUACAAAGGCAGAGCGCAAUAACUACAAUUUAGGUGCAUAUACCUAUUUAGUUAGUGCAUUACCACUGUUGGAGCCUAUUCCUUUGGAAAUGGUAAAUCAAAAUAAUGCUGAUGAUAAUGUUGAUUAAUUAUUGAAAGUUGUAGAUCAUAUAUUGCAGAUAAAUUAUGAUUUAUUAUGAUUGUUCUCUGCUGCUCAUGGCCCUCCUCCUAGUCAGGCCAUCCUCCUCCUAUGAUUAGGGAGAGAGGACAGCUGGGUUUCCCUUUUGUCUGCCUUUUGUGUUGAAGGAGUGAGGAGUGAGGAGUGAGACGCUUUAUCUACCACUAAAUUAAGGUUUUUGUUUUGGUCAUUGUAUGAAGUCAACCACAGAGAAUAUUUUUGUUUAUGUAAAUAAAUUCAGAACCUUUUUUGAACCUGGAAAGAUCUCCGCAAGUGCUUAUUAUUUAGUGAGUCCCAGACCUCCUCCUCAGAAGACUAAUCUGUUAUUUUUUACCUUUUUUUUUUUAACGCAAGAGUAGCCACAGCCACUUUUCUGCCUAUAAAUAACAAUGAACAGUCAAAACACUUUUUUCAAAUUUAAUACCCUACUGUAAUACCUUGCAG